ACCUUUUGCAUCAUGAUCUAGCCAGUAACUUCAAGCGAAGAGACCUCUAGUUUGAACCCCCGAAACCGGACGAGCUACUCCGGGGCAGCCUAUUGUAGGGCCAACCCGUCUCUGUGGCAAAAGAGUGGGAAGACCCCCGAGUAGAGGUGAAAGACCUACCGAGUCAGGUUAUAGCUGGUUGCCCAAGAAAUGAAUAGAAGUUCAGCCCCGUUGCGCCCUCACCCACAACAGUUUUACUCAAACAAGGCAUGAGGACACCCCCGGGAGUUAGUCAAGGGAGGUACAGCUCCCUUAACAAAGGACACAACCUUAGACAGGAGGCUAAGGAAUAUAUUAACCAAGGCCACAGGUUUCAGUGGGCCUAAAAGCAGCCACCUCAACAGAAAGCGUUAAAGCUCAGACCAAUCCAAGCCUAUUAUAACAUUAAAAUCUCCAAAGCCCCUAAUAUUAUUGGGCCGCCCUAUGCCACCAUAGGGGAGACCAUGCUAGAACGAGUAAUAAGAAGGAUAGACCUUCUCCCAGCACACGUGUAAGUCGAAUCGGACGACCCAUCGACAAUUAACGAACCCAAUAAAAGAGGGUAUUACAUCACUGCCAUCCCAGGCCAAGAAAACCAUGUAGUGAACCAUCGUUACCCCAACACAGGAGUGCUCUAGCCAGGGAAAGACUUAAAGAAUAAAAAGGAACUCGGCAAACUAGAACCUCGCCUGUUUACCAAAAACAUCGCCUCCUGCCACCACCAAUUAUAGGAGGUCCCGCCUGCCCUGUGACCAAGUGUUUAACGGCCGCGGUAUUUUAACCGUGCGAAGGUAGCGCAAUCAAUUGUCUUUUAAAUGGAGACCUGUAUGAAUGGCAUAACGAGGGUUCAACUGUCUCUUUUUUCCGGUCAAUGAAACUGAUCUGCCCGUGCAGAAGCGGGCAUAUCCACACAAGACGAGAAGACCCUAUGGAGCUUUAGACACUAACCAACCACGAAAAGCGACCCUAACUGGAGCCCCAAACAACGUGAUUCUGGCAUAAGUGUCUUCGGUUGGGGCGACCACGGGAGAUAGCACAGCUCCCGAGUGGAUGGGGGACACCCUAAAACCCAGAGCCACAGCUCUAAGUCACAAAACAUUUGACCAAUAAUGAUCCGGCUUAAUGCCGACCAACGGACCAAGUUACCCUAGGGAUAACAGCGCAAUCCUCUCCCAGAGUCCAUAUCGACGAGGGGGUUUACGACCUCGAUGUUGGAUCAGGACAUCCUAAUGGUGCAGCCGCUAUAA
rnacentral:rRNA from 1 species